rnacentral:rRNA from 1 species
AUUGAACGCUGGCGGCAUGCCUUACACAUGCAAGUCGAACGGCAGCACGGGAGCAAUCCUGGUGGCGAGUGGCGAACGGGUGAGUAAAGUAUCGGAACGUGCCCAGUCGUGGGGGAUAACGUAGCGAAAGUUACGCUAAUACCGCAUACGAUCUAUGGAUGAAAGCGGGGGAUCGCAAGACCUCGCGCGAUUGGAGCGGCCGAUAUCAGAUUAGGUAGAUGGUGGGGUAGAGGCUCAACAAGCCGACGAUCUGUAGCUGGUCUGAGAGGACGACCAGGCACACUGUGACUGAGACACGGCCCAGGCUCCUACGGGAGGCAGCAGUGGGGAAGUUUGGACAAUGGGCGCAAGCCUGUUACAGCCAUGCCGCGUGCAGGAUGGAGGCCUUCGGGUUGUAAACUGCUUUUGUACGGAACGAAAAGGUUUGACUUAAUACGUUGGACUCAUGACGGUACCGUAAGAAUAAGCACCGGCUAACUACGUGCCAGCCGCCGCGGUAA